UCGUGAACACGUCCACCGCCGCUCGCAAAUUUGUCAUCAGCGCAAUAUCUAUAUACCUGUACAGUAUGUUAUUUAUAUAUAUCUUUAAAAUAUAUAUUAUAUAAUAAUAUAAUAGUGGAUAACUGUAAAAACUGAUUGACCGCGUGUCCAGAACAAUACACGGUCAAGUUUUGUCAGUAAAUAACGCACAUCCUGGCAACGGUUGUUAGUACAGUAUGUGUGCGACUGACUGUACUAAUAAUUGUAAGUAUAUUACUGAAUAUGUACCACGUCAAGAGUGACAACUGGCAAAUACUCAAGUACAUUACGCUUCGGAAGACUACAUAUUUUACAAAAAAUUAAAGAAUGAAUGUGAAAAGUUUCCAAGACGUAUUAUCGGGAAAUAAGUAUGUUUUAAAACCCAAAGUUUAGUACAAGACUAAUAUUAGGUACAACUUAUAAGGAAGAAAUUAUGUAACGUUAAACUUUUUCUUGUAUCACUAAGCGGAUUUCAACUAAAUUAUAUGCAAAAUCAGCAUUUAUAACGAUACUAAUAAUAUGAAUGCGUUAAUUCUAAUAAUGCUGGCUUAAACAUAUGACCAGUUACCGAUACGAAUUAUCAAUAAACAGACGAGACCUCUUAUUUAGAAUCGACCACGUGACUAAACCGCUGUCAUCCUCGAUGGGGAAUAUGUCAAGAGGUUGUUUUCUAAGGAAAUACCCCGGCAGCCGUGCUCCGAAGAAAGCUUAUCGACGAUUGGGUCAGCAUGACACUGACCACAGACACAAAGGCCGGCCGUUGACAUCAUUGUGAUUGACAUUAAGCUACGAGAACUUACGCCUGCAAGUGUUUUCAUUUAGUAUUUGACUGAAGGCGAGGCCUGCGAGAUCACCGUUUUGGACACUACUUUAUAGGUUUUUUUCAUUUGAAGUGCUCGCGUCGGGAAUUAACCGAAAGAGUCCAAUAUAGCGAUUUUACAGGAAAAUCAAAAUCCAUUCAGAGCCACUCAGAACCUCAUCGGCUGGUUGCAGAGGACCUCCGUGGACCGGUACGUGAGCUUAGAAGCCCGGGAAGAAGUGGAAGACGCAAUAUUAAGAGUAAAUUAUGUAUAAGCAGAGCCAAUAAAAAAUCUAUUGUUACAAAGGCCUGAGCUCUCAUAUGUAUUUGACGUGACAACAUAAAAGAUACAGAGGCCGUAGCUGAUGUUCCUAUUCUAAGACAAGAUGACGAAGCAUAUUAUUAAACGACAUUAAAAGCGCAACAAUGAACCAUAUUCCGUUGAUAACAGAGGCCUGAGCUCUCAUAUGUAUUUGACGAGACAGCAUAAAAGAUACAGAGGCCGUAGCUGAUGUUCCUAUUCUAAGACAAGAUGACGAAGCAUAUUAUUAAACGACCUUGAAAGCGCAACAAUGAACAUUACCUUUUUCCCUGGUGCCUUUAGACGGCGAGAAGCGGGAACACGCAACAAGUGGUGUGCCAGCAAGACGCGGCCGUGGGGUUGUCGGGCGAUCUAGGACGGCGAAAAGCUCA